GCUAGUAAUCGCAGAUCAGCAUGCUGUGGUGAAUACGUUCCCGGGCCUUGUACACACCGCCCGUCACACCAUGGGAGUCGGUAACACCCGAAGUCGGUAGCCUAACCGUAAGGNGGGCGCCGCCGAAGGUGGGAUUGAUGACUGGGGUGAAGUCGUAACAAGGUACC
rnacentral:rRNA from 1 species